AAUAGCAGAGGUUUUUUCUCCUAAUACUUCUUUUUUUCUUUUCCUUGUAAUCUUGUGUGAAAUCUCUAGAUCUUCUCCGUUUCUCAAAAUUUCUUCCCAAAAAAUUACUUUAUGGAUACAUUGUUCUUCGAUUCAAUUAAGAAGUUUGAUUUCUCUGUUUGUUCAACGCCUGCUUUGGUUUUUGAUUUUCAUCGUCAGAAUUUUAGUCAACCUUGUAUUUGCUUCUAACCUUUGUUACCUGGAGCUGUCACCAUGGGUAGAAGAAGUUCGCAACGUAGGAAUGCUGCGAUGCUAGAUAGCGAUGACACGGAUAGCGUUAGUUCAUCAUCAACUACUCGAUCGGAUAUGAUGUUGUCUGGUUUAGAGGAGGUUCAAUUUGAUAAGGAGACUGUCCUUGAUCAAUGCUUGGACGCCUUAUAUGAGAAAAGGGGCUCAACAAGAGAGAAGGCUUUGGCAUCUAUUAUAGAAGCAUUCAAUAGCAACAUUCAGCAUGAAUUUGUUGAAAAGAAGUUUGCCACAUUACUGCAACAAUGUUUGAAUUCCAUUAAACGUGGUUCCUCCAAGGAGAUAGCUUUGGCAUCUCAUGUUAUUGGGCUUCUUGCUUUAACUGCUGGCCCUGGGGACAAAGCACACGAGGUUCUGGAAGAAUCAGUGUCUCCUAUCUCAGAGGCUCUUAAAUCUCGGUCUGAUAAUUCUAAAAUAUCCUCGCUACUGGAAUGUUUGGCCAUUAUCACCUUUAUUGGUGGCGAAGAACCUGAGGAAACAGAAAAGUCAAUGCAAUUGAUGUGGCAAGUCAUUCACCCAAAACUGGGUCCUAAUGUAUGUUAUUCGUGAUCAUCUUUUCCUGUUGUAAGGCUUGUGUUUGGUGACAGUGCUAGAUGGUGAAUCAUUUGCUCAUGAUGCAGGUCAAUCUCCUACUUCUCAACUCUUCUAGACAAGGAAGACCGAUCUGUGCGCAUUGCAGCAGGCGAAGCACUUGCUUUAGUUUUUGAAGUUGGGAGUCUGGAGAAGUUUUCUGGUGAAGCUAAAGGAUCUAGUGACAGCUCCACAGUUGAAGCUAACAAAUCUAGGGAAUUAUUACAUAUACAGGGAUUAAGGGCAAAAGUCCUGAACCAGGUAAGAACCCUUUCAGCAGAGGCUGGAGGUAAAGGAUCAGCCAAGAAGGAUCUUAACAACCAAAGAAACACAUUUCGAGAUAUAUUGGAAUUUCUCGAGGAUGGGUAUAGCCCUGAGGCCUCGACCAAGAUUGGUGGAGAACCGCUUAGCACAAGUACUUGGGCUCAACUUAUACAGUUAAACUUCCUUAAGCACUUCCUUGGAGGAGGAUUCGUGAAGCAUAUGCAGGAAAAUGAGUUUCUUCAUGAUGUAUUUGGUUUCACGCCGAAGAAGAAACUGCCCGGUGUUGAGCACCGUGUAUCCGGCGCUGAAAAGAGAUUGUUUAAGUCACCAAAUUCAGAAAAAAACAAGGCCCGCACUCAAUUUCUAAACAAGCAAAGGAUGUUGUCCCAGGACAAGAAUGUUGGCUACUAUACGGUUGGUGAUGUGUGAAAUUUUCAGCCAAAGCCAACCUGGAACAAUUGUCCGUGUCAAAAAUAUUCAUUCAUAGUUGCAGAUUUGAUGAACAAAAUGAUAAACAAAAGGAUAGUUACUUGAUCAUUUUGUUGCCUACUUGGUAGUAGUCCUUUAUUUUUCUUUUACAGUAAGUAUGAAUUAGAUUGGACUUGGUGCCUCCACUUCAUGUAGUGCAUGAAAAAGGCCAGCCACUGUGCAUUCUCUUAUGUUUCUAUUGAAACAGAUUCUCUUAAUAGAUGAUUCAGUGAGUGCUAGUUUUAUUCUCGUUGUUGAAUUUCUGAA